rnacentral:rRNA from 1 species
CUUUCUAAAUUGAAAAAAAGCACGCCAGAAAACACACACGAGAACGGGCUCUCCUCUCCCUCGCCUCCCGAUCCCAACCGCCAGGCGCUCGAUCUGGUGCCGCGCCGGCCAUCCGGGCGCGGCGUCGAUGGAUCUGGCGGUGGGUGCGGCGUCUUGCUCCGGUGGCAACGGUGUCCUGCUGAUGCAAAGAGACCAGGGCGUGAGGGAGAGAGGAAGAAAGGAGGAGAAGGGGCACAAGGUGAGGGAGGCGGUCGCCGGCGACGGCGGCUCCGGUGACCGGCCGGAGGGAAGGGAGAGGAACUCAUGUUGAGGCGGCGCGGCUUGGUGCACGCUGGUUUCUCCGGAUCGACCCCCUACUCAGAUCUGCACGCCCCUGAUGAUUGGAGGUGUGCCUUUCACAUGUUCGUUGAGUUGCAGCAACAAGGACAGAUGGCCAUCUUCACAGGUUAUGCCCCUUACUGUAAUUUGCAUUCAGUUAUGUGCAGUAAUAAUGCCAUAUUUGUUAGCCUGCUAGCUGUUUCCAGAUUUUUUUAGACAUGAUUGACUGCUUCUACACAAAAGGAGUUUGUCGAAAAUAAGAGCAAUCCCAUUGUUGCUACAGAGCCCGAAGAUUCUUUGCCUUUCUUUGAACUGUUUGAGUUUUUUCUUUCAUAUGGCUACAAUUAUUUGAUUGGUCCAUGUAGAUUUAGGCAACAUGAGAUGAGCCGAUGAUAUAUAUUGUAAUAUACGAUGUCUAUUGCUACAAGUGUUGAUGUCUUGGUGAUGGCAGGUUUUGCAAGUAAUUGAAAUGCUUUUUGAGUAGAGGAUAAUUAGAGAUAUAAUGUUCUACCUGAUCUUGAGGUAUGUGAAAGUGAACUCGGUGAUUUUGAGUAAUUCUAAGAGUAUACAUCUCAUCUAUCAGGUAUCCUUUUUUGAGUAAUGCUGAGAGGAUACAUCUCAUCUAUGAGGAAUUAAUCCAUCUCGUUUUCUCUGUGUUUACCUUGUUCUACAAAUGGCUAACUAGGUAAUGAUUAUUGAUAGCUAAUGACAUGAGGGAGAGGGGGACAAGCCCCUUUAGCUACUGCAAUGUGGUUGUGCAUACAAAUGUGCUACUCAUAUUCCACUGUUAGACGAGCCAGGCGCGAGAAGCAGGUUAUAAGGGGAGCCAGAGAGGUGAGGGAGGUGACCAAAGCGGCAGCGGCCUUGGGGUGCCGAAGAAGAGUGCGUAGGAGGAUGGAAAGGGGCUCUUAUACGACGGCUGGAAGAGAACUAUGCUCUCCUAAACCUGAAUGGGCCAGAAGUGACAAGACAGACAGAUCUGGCAGUCAAUUAUUCUUCAGUUUCGGUUGUGAUGUUUCAACAUGAGUUCAGAGCGUUAAUGCUUUGCUGAUGCGAGGAGGUGAAGUUGUAUGCUACCAGAGUGCAGAUAUUUCUUGGUGUGUUUGCUUUCAAGAAAAGAUGGAUGUGUGUUGUGACUGUGACAGAUGGUUCUACUGGAUAUGUUGUUGGGUUUAUAACAAGAAGCAUUGGUAAGGAUAUCAAAAUACAAGAGAAUGCUGCAACGACCAAGGUGCCAUAUAUAUAUCGAAGGAGGAUUCAGAAUAUGAAGUUACUGGAAACAUUGUUGGAAGUGUUGGUCCUGAGAGCACAGAAAAGGAUUCAUCGUUUCUUAUAAAAACAUUACAAUCAUUCAAAGAAGCUUUGAUCAAGGAGGAUGACACAAAUGUUGCUGAGAUUGAGGCCUUCUUACUUUGCAUUGAUGUCGAUGAUGAGAAGAACUCUCUUAUGAGGAAAAUCAUUGCUUUGAAUUAUUGAUAACUGUGAGAGAUCGUGUCUUGAGAGCAGGUGCAAAAUCUGAAUUCUACAGAUUGAGAGAGGUGCAGAUUCUGAAUUCUGCACACAGAAGACAGAACAGAGAGCUGGUGGCAAAUGUGCAAGGGGAAGUUAUGGAGAGCUUUCUUUGCUAGCUGAAUAAGUCUAUCAGGAGUCAAGGCCUGUUUUGUUGGAGGCUUGAUGGAACUUGCCUGGCCUGAUAAGUAACUGUGCGCGCGGUCGUCCUGGGUGCUUGGCUUGAGCUAGCAUGCCGUGUUGUUAUCUUGGUUGAGGCAGCUGGAGUUAGCAAGGUGAUUAGUCAAGGGUGGCUGUCGAUGCCAUCUAAAAAAUAGGUGUUAAAACUUCAUAUUUUCUCAGGAAAAAUUCGUAUGAAUUAAUGAAUAUCAGGCUACAUUCAGGCGAUAUUGUUUGUCAGGCACAGAGCUCAGGGUAGCAACCACACAUUUAAGUGAGCUUUUGUUGAAAUGCGUUGGUACUUUAGUUUUUAGAUUCUGUGAUGAUGGUAUGCAUAAAUACAUGAGCUCUUUCAACCAGUACCACAUAGUAUUAAUGAGGUAACAGAAACUUGCAAUUCCAUUAUCCUGCAUCUGCCCAAGUCUAGAAGGUCAGAUAAGUUGUUCCACAAGAUAGACAACAAUUUUUUAUGAGUCAUCACAGUGGGCCGAGAACUUGUUGAUGAAGCCAAUGAUUGGGUUGAUCAUAGUGAUACGGCAUCAGACGUAAUGCUAGAUUUAACCCCAGACAAAUGGGCAAACAUGAAAAGAGGAAAGAUGUCAAUGCAUGAGCCAGAGGGUUCCAGUGGUGAAUAUUUUGGACCAGAAGUUAUGGAUGUUUCACGCGAAGAAGCCAUUCUUUCCAAUGUUUACAUAUAAGAUAUACCAGUACAUCCCAAUUGGUAGGGCCCCUCCACUAAUAAGCUGGAUAUCCUUUUAACAAGUAGCUCGGAGAGAAUAAAGCGUUAUAUUUUAUCAUACUUUUAUAGUUUAACAUGUCAAAGAAGGGAGAUGAGACACCAGCGGAUGGCAAGAUGGAUGAACUGUUGGACAGUGUUAGCCUUAAUUACCUAAUUCCUAAUGAAGUGGAAAACUUUAUGACCAGCAUAGAAAAUGUGCAACACUCUUCUUCUGAGCAUGAAGGGCAAAAUGAUGAUUUCGAAGCAAAUAUCAUUGAGCAAGAUGAACACAUUGGAAAGAUUUUACUAAUCUUACUGUUGCAUGCAAAGACAUUGGUGAUGUCAUAUCAGAAGACCCACAGAAGGUUUAGGUUUCCGAGGGCAAGCAGAAAUAAGUGAUAGCUAUGCCGGUAUUCUAAAUAAUGGCAACACAUAUUAUGUAAACACAGUUCUGCAGUAUUUUCAUUGUUUAUCGGAGCUCAAAGAAAUCUUAAUAAUUUGUGAAGACGUAUGAGUGCUCGGGGCUGAUGUUCUAUGGUUGAUUUCGGGAUGUGUAAGAGCAGGGCGAAUACCACUAUAUCAUACUCUCUUGACUGGGAUGAACUUCGCCUUUUUGUAGAAAAGUGAUAGAAUAAGAAUUGUGAUUUCUGCUGCUAUUAUGAUAUGCUUUUCUAAUAUUCUUUGCUACCACUCUUUGUUGUAUCAAUUAUUUGUUGUGUGAACCAUGUGGCGGGUCGAGCUCAGAUGAUUCAGAUAGGAUAGAGUGGGCGUCGAAAAUCGCCCGUGACAUUCUAGGUGAAUUCUAGCCGUUGCUAGCAAGGC